GACGAACGCUGGCGGCGUGCUUAACACAUGCAAGUCGAACGGAAAGGCCCGGCUUUUGUUGUGGGUUCGAGUGGCGAACGGGGGAGUAACACGUGUGUAACCUGCCCGUGACUUUGGGAUAUCGUCAGUAAACUGGGGCUAAUACCGGUUAUGAGCGCUUGCUGCAUGGUGUGGGUUGGGAAGUGUCGGCGGUUGGGGAUGUACUCGCGGCUUAGCAGCUUGCUGGUGGGGUAGUGGGUUACCAAGGCUUUGACGGGUAGCCGGCCUGAGAGGGGGACCGGCCACAUUGGGAAUACGAUAAGGCCCAGAAGCCUACGGGAAGCAGCAGUGGGGAGUAUUGCCCAAUGGCCGGGAGCCUGAUGCAGCAACGCCGCGUGCGGGAUGACGGCCUUCGGGUUGUAAACCGCUUUCGACUGUGACGAAGCGGGAGUGACGGUAAUGGGUAAAGAAGCACCGGCUAACUACGUG
rnacentral:rRNA from 1 species